UACGUAGGGUGCGAGCGUUGUCCGGAAUUAUUGGGCGUAAAGGGCUCGUAGGCGGUUUGUCGCGUCGGGAGUGAAAAUCCAGGGCUUAACUCUGGACUGGCUUCCGAUACGGGCAGACUAGAGGUAUGCAGGGGAGAACGGAAUUCCUGGUGUAGCGGUGAAAUGCGCAGAUAUCAGGAGGAACACCGGUGGCGAAGGCGGAUCUCUGGGCCUUACCUGACGCUCAGGUGCGAAAGCUAGGGGAGCAAACAGG
rnacentral:rRNA from 1 species